rnacentral:rRNA from 1 species
UACGUAGGUGGCAAGCGUUGUUCGGAAUUAUUGGGCGUAAAGGGCGCGUAGGCGGUUCGUCACGUCGGGAGUGAAAACUCGGGGCUUAACCCCGAGCCUGCUUCCGAUACGGGCAGACUAGAGGUAGGCAGGGGAGAGCGGAACUCCUGGUGUAGCGGUGGAAUGCGCAGAUAUCAGGAAGAACACCGGUGGCGAAGGCGGCUCUCUGGGCCUUACCUGACGCUGAGGAGCGAAAGCGUGGGUAGCGAACAGG